rnacentral:rRNA from 1 species
CUGUUCGACUUUUAAAUAAUUACAUGAAUUGAGUUCAGACCGGUGUAAACCAGGUCGGUUUCUAUCUUUUAAAAUUUUCUUACAGUACGAAAGGACCUAAGAAAAUAA